GAGAGGUGCUUGUAGCCACGAAAACUGCUAAUUUUCGUCUCCUCGGUUAGAUCCCGAGGGCCCCUCG
rnacentral:tRNA from 1 species